UUGUGAUCGCGAUCGUGAGUCGGACUAGUCAGUUGCAAACGGAGCGCCAGACGAGGCGGUUCACUGAAAGCCACUUAGCAUUAUUUUGUUAGAUCAAGCGCGAACCUAGAAACAACAUAUCUUUUUGUUUUUUAUUUUUUAUUUUUUCUAUUCCUUGUUGUUGGAGUUCGCGAGUUUUUCACUUUGGAGAAAUGACAAUCUAUGGACUGUUGGUGCAGAUCAUAAUCGUUUGUAACUAGCUGCCCGAAGAGUCCGACAUUCGAGGAGCAGCAGCAGCAGCAGCAGCAGCAGCACUAUGGCACCGCCCCAAGAGCAGCCAGAGGAUGAUAUUAUCACCAAGAUACCCUCGAUAAUUGGAUUCCUGAACUUGGACUGACUGCCGGCGAAUGAUGCUUUGGCCACCCUGCACCCAUCACAAAAUUCGAUGAUCUGACCUAGAGAGCCAAGGCUGAAGCGCUGAAUCAUGAGAAUUAUAGCUAGAAAUCGUUGUCAUAGUUUUACGAUUAAGAAGUGGAGCAAGACAAGCACAAAUAAACGAGCAAAAUGAA